rnacentral:rRNA from 1 species
AUACGGAGGGUGCAAGCGUUAUUCGGAAUCACUGGGCGUAAAGGGUGCGUAGGCGGUUUGAUAAGUCUGAUGUGAAAUCCUAUGGCUCAACCAUAGAACUGCAUUGGAAACUGUCAGACUAGAAUACUGAAGGGGCAGAUGGAAUUAGUGGUGUAGGGGUAAAAUCCGUAGUUAUCACUAGGAAUACCGAAAGCGAAAGCGAUCUGCUGGGAAGUUAUUGACGCUGAGGCACGAAAGCGUGGGGCGCAAACGGGAUUAGCAACCCCAGUAGUCC